rnacentral:rRNA from 1 species
GACGAACGCUGGCGGCGUGCUUAACACAUGCAAGUCGAACGGUGAAAGCGGAGCUUGCUCCGCUGGAUCAGUGGCGAACGGGUGAGUAACACGUGGGCAACCUGCCCCUCACUUCGGGAUAACUCCGGGAAACCGGGGCUAAUACCGGAUAUGACCUCCUUGGGCAUCCUUGGAGGUGGAAAGUUUUUCGGUGAGGGAUGGGCCCGCAGCCUAUCAGCUUGUUGGUGAGGUAGUGGCUCACCAAGGCGACGACGGGUAGCCGGCCUGCGGGGGCGACCGGCCACACUGGGACUGAGACACGGCCCAGACUCCUACGGGAGGCAGCAGUGGGGAAUAUUGCGCAAUGGGCGAAAGCCUGACGCAGCAACGCCGCGUGCGGGAUGACGGCCUUCGGGUUGUAAACCGCUUUCAGCAGGGAAGAAGCCGCAAGGUGACGGUACCUGCAGAAGAAGCACCGGCUAACUACGUGCCAGCCGCCGCGGUAA